AUUGAACGCUGGCGGCAGGCUUAACACAUGCAAGUCGAGCGGAGUGAUGGUACUUGCACUAUCACUUAGCGGCGGACGGGUGAGUAAUGCUUAGGAAUCUGCCUAUUAGUGGGGGACAACAUCUCGAAAGGGAUGCUAAUACCGCAUACGUCCUACGGGAGAAAGCAGGGGAUCACUUGUGACCUUGCGCUAAUAGAUGAGCCUAAGUCGGAUUAGCUAGUUGGUGGGGUAAAGGCCUACCAAGGCGACGAUCUGUAGCGGGUCUGAGAGGAUGGACCGCCACACUGGGACUGAGACACGGCCCAGACUCCUACGGGAGGCAGCAGUGGGGAAUAUUGGACAAUGGGGGGAACCCUGAUCCAGCCAUGCCGCGUGUGUGAAGAAGGCCUCAUGGUUGCAAAGCACUUUAAGCGAGGAGGAGGCUUACCUAGUUAAUACCUGGGAUAAGUGGACGUUACUCGCAGAAUAAGCACCGGCUAACUCUGUGCCAGCCGCCGCGGUAA
rnacentral:rRNA from 1 species